rnacentral:rRNA from 1 species
AUUGAACGCUGGCGGCAGGCUUAACACAUGCAAGUCGAGCGGGGAAGAGUAGCUUGCUACUUGACCUAGCGGCGGACGGGUGAGUAAUGCUUAGGAAUCUGCCUAUUAGUGGGGGACAACAUCUCGAAAGGGAUGCUAAUACCGCAUACGUCCUACGGGAGAAAGCAGGGGACCUUCGGGCCUUGCGCUAAUAGAUGAGCCUAAGUCGGAUUAGCUAGUUGGUGGGGUAAAGGCCUACCAAGGCGACGAUCUGUAGCGGGUCUGAGAGGAUGAUCCGGCAACCGGGACCGGAGACAGGCCCAGACCCCCAAGGGAGGCAGCCGUGGGGGAUAAUGGAAAAUGGGGGGAAAGCUGAACCAGCCAUGCCGGGUGUGUGGAGAAGGCCGUUUGGUUGUAAAGCAAUUUAAGCGAGGAGGAGGCUACAGAGAUUAAUACUCUUGGAUAGUGGACGUUACUCGCAGAAUAAGCACCGGCUAACUCUGUG